CCUACGGGUGGCAGCAGUGAGGAAUAUUGGUCAAUGGGCGGAAGCCUGAACCAGCCAAGUCGCGUGAGGGAUUAAGGCCCUGCGGGUCGUAAACCUCUUUUGCCGGGGAGCAGAGGUCCGGACGUGUCCGUGCCGGGAGAGUACCCGGAGAAAAAGCAUCGGCUAACUCCGUGCCAGCAGCCGCGGUAAUACGGAGGAUCCAAGCGUUAUCCGGAUUUAUUGGGUUUAAAGGGUGCGUAGGCGGUUUUAUAAGUUAGAGGUGAAAAUUCGGGGCUCAACUCCGGACGUGCCUCUAAUACUGUAUGACUAGAGAAUAGGUGCGGUAGGAGGAAUGUAUGGGGUAGCGGUGAAAUGCGUAGAGAUCAUACAGAACACCGAUUGCGAAGGCAGCUUACCAAACUAUAUCUGACGUUGAGGCACGAAAGCGUGGGGAGCAAACAGGAUUAGAUACCCUAGUAGUC
rnacentral:rRNA from 1 species